rnacentral:rRNA from 1 species
UACGUAGGGUGCGAGCGUUAAUCGGAAUUACUGGGCGUAAAGCGUGCGCAGGCGGUUUUGUAAGCCAGAUGUGAAAUCCCCGGGCUCAACCUGGGAAUGGCAUUUGGGACUGCAAGGCUGGAGUGCGGCAGAGGAGACUGGAAUUCCUGGUGCAGCAGUGAAAUGCGUAGAUAUCAGGAGGAAUACCGAUGGCGAAGGCAGGUCUCUGGGCUGACACUGACGCUCAUGCACGAAAGCGUGGGGAGCAAACAGG